UGGCUCAGAUUGAACGCUGGCGGCAGGCCUAACACAUGCAAGUCGAGCGGCAGCACGGGUACUUGUACCUGGUGGCGAGCGGCGGACGGGUGAGUAAUGCCUAGGAAUCUGCCUGGUAGUGGGGGAUAACGCUCGGAAACGGACGCUAAUACCGCAUACGUCCUACGGGAGAAAGCAGGGGACCUUCGGGCCUUGCGCUAUCAGAUGAGCCUAGGUCGGAUUAGCUAGUUGGUGAGGUAAUGGCUCACCAAGGCGACGAUCCGUAACUGGUCUGAGAGGAUGAUCAGUCACACUGGAACUGAGACACGGUCCAGACUCCUACGGGAGGCAGCAGUGGGGAAUAUUGGACAAUGGGCGAAAGCCUGAUCCAGCCAUGCCGCGUGUGUGAAGAAGGUCUUCGGAUUGUAAAGCACUUUAAGUUGGGAGGAAGGGCAGUUACCUAAUACGUAAUUGUUUUGACGUUACCGACAGAAUAAGCACCGGCUAACUCUGUGCCAGCAGCCGCGGUAAUACAGAGGGUGCAAGCGUUAAUCGGAAUUACUGGGCGUAAAGCGCGCGUAGGUGGUUCGUUAAGUUGGAUGUGAAAUCCCCGGGCUCAACCUGGGAACUGCAUUCAAAACUGUCGAGCUAGAGUAUGGUAGAGGGUGGUGGAAUUUCCUGUGUAGCGGUGAAAUGCGUAGAUAUAGGAAGGA
rnacentral:rRNA from 1 species